UGAGUACGAGCUGCUACGGCAGCGAAGUGGGUGAUGUCAAGCUUCCAAGAAAAGCCCUAUACCCGUUAAGGCAUGACGGCCUGUACCCGAAACCGACACAGGUGGGGUGGUAGAGAAUACCGAGGGGCGCGAGAUAACUCUCUCUAAGGAACUCGGCAAAAUGGCCCCGUAACUUCGGGAGAAGGGGUGCCACCGCAAGGUGGUCGCAGUGAAGAGGCCCAGGCGACUGUUUACCAAAAACACAGGUCUCCGCUAAGUCGCAAGACGAUGUAUGGGGGCUGACGCCUGCCCAGUGCCGGAAGGUUAAGGAAGCUGGUCAGCGCAAGCGAAGCUGGCGACUGAAGCCCCGGUGAACGGCGGCCGUAACUAUAACGGUCCUAAGGUAGCGAAAUUCCUUGUCGGGUAAGUUCCGACCCGCACGAAAGGCGUAACGAUCUGGGCGCUGUCUCGGAGAGAGGCUCGGCGAAAUAGAAUUGUCUGUGAAGAUGCGGACUACGUGCACCCGGACAGAAAGACCCUAUGAAGCUUUACUGUAGCUUGGUAUUGUGCCCGGGCUCUGAAUGCGCAGGAUAGGUGGGAGGCUUUGAUCCAUUGCUUGCGGGUGAUGGUGAGCCAACGGUGAGAUACCACUCUUUCAGAGCUAGGGUUCUAACGGUCACCCGUUAUCCGGGGACCGGACAGUAUCAGGUGGGCAGUUUGGCUGGGGCGGUCGCCUCCUAAAAGGUAACGGAGGCGCGCAAAGGUUCCCUCAGGCUGGUUGGAAAUCAGCCGACGAGUGUAAAGGCAGAAGGGAGCUUGACUGUGAGACCUACAAGUCGAACAGGGACGAAAGUCGGCCUUAGUGAUCCGACGGUUCUGAGUGGAAGGGCCGUCGCUCAACGGAUAAAAGUUACUCUAGGAUAACAGGCUGAUCUCCCCCAAGAGUUCACAUCGACGGGGAGGUUUGGCACCUCGAUGUCGGCUCAUCGCAACCUGGGGCUGAAGUCGGUCCCAAGGGUUGGGCUGUUCGCCCAUUAAAGCGGUACGCGAGCUGGGUUCAGAACGUCGUGAGACAGUUCGGUCCAAAUCCGGUGCAUGCGCAGGAACAUUGAGAGGAUUUCUCCCUAGUACGAGAGGACCGGGAGGAACGCACCUCUGGUGUACCAGUUAUCGUGCCAACGGUAAACGCUGGGUAGCCAUGUGCGGAGCGGAUAACCGCUGAAAGCAUCUAAGUGGGAAGCCCACCUCAAGAUGAGUGUUCCCAUGGCAUAAGCCAGUAAGGUCACGGGAAGAACACCCGUUGAUAGGCUCUACGUGGAAGCGUGGCAACACGUGAAGCGGAGGAGUACUAAUAGACCGAGGGCUUGACC
rnacentral:rRNA from 1 species